GCUUACUUACACAGCAAAAGAAUAGUCCACAGGGAUAUCAAGGCGGAUAACAUUCUCGUUGAUUCUUAUGGCUUUGUAAAGCUUAUUGACUUUGGUUUGGCUAAACAUGGGCAUGAAUCUAUGGGCAGUGACUCCUUGUGGGGAACUUCACAUUAUGCAGCUCCAGAGACUCUUCAGAAUCAAGAAUAUAGCAGCUCGGGUGAAGCCUAUAGCGCUGAUAUAUGGAGUUUGGGUUGUGUAAUCAUUGAAAUGUUCACAGGGAAGCGCCCUUGGCUUGAUCUU